rnacentral:rRNA from 1 species
AAGGGGCGCGAGACAACUCUCUCUAAGGAACUCGGCAAAAUUACCUCUUAACUUCGGAAGAAGAGGUACCCCUUCACGGGGGUUGCAAUAGAUUGACCCUGGCGACUGUUUACCAAAAACACAGGUCUCCGCUAAUUCGUAAGAAAAAGUAUGGGGGCUGACGCCUGCCCAGUGCCGGAAGGUUAAAGAAGUUGGUUAGUCCUUGGACAAAGCUAGCGACUGAAGCCCCGGUGAACGGCGGCCGUAACUAUAACGGUCCUAAGGUAGCGAAAUUCCUUGUCGGGUAAGUUCCGACCCGCACGAAAGGCGUAACGAUCAGGGUACUGUCUCGGAGAGAGGCUCGGCGAAAUAGACAUGUCUGUGAAGAUGCGGACUACCUGCACCUGGACAGAAAGACCCUAUGAAGCUUUACUGUAUCUUGGAAUUGGGUUUGGUCUUUGCAUGCGCAGGAUAGGUGGGAGGCUUUGAAGAUGAUCUUGCGGGGUCGUUGGAGCCACUGGUGAGAUACCACCCUUGCAAUGAUAAAAUCCUAACUUUGAACCGUUAUCCGGUCAAAGAACAGUUUCAGGUGGGCAGUUUGACUGGGGCGGUCGCCUCCUAAAACUAACGGAGGCGUGCAAAGGUUCCCUCAGGCUGGUUGGACAUCAGUCGUAGAGUGUAAAGGCAUAAGGGAGCUUGACUGCGAGACCAACAAGUCGAGCAGAGACGAAAGUCGGCCUUAGUGAUCCGGCGCUUCCGAGUGGAAGGGGCGUCGCUCAACGGAUAAAAGUUACUCUAGGAUAACAGGCUGAUCUCCCCCAAGAGUUCACAUCGACGGGGAGGUUUGGCACCUCGAUGUCGGCUCAUCGCAUCCUGGGGCGGUAGUACGUCCCAAGGGUUGGGCUGUUCGCCCAUGAAAGCGGUACGCGAGCUGGGUUCAGAACGUCGUGAGACAGUUCGGUCCAUAUCCGGUGCAGGCGUUAGAGUAUUGCGAAGACUCCUCCUUAGUACGAGAGGACCGGGGGGAAUGCACCGCUGGUGUACCAGUUAUCGUGCCAACGGUAAACGCUGGGUAGCCAAGUGCAGUUUGGAUAACUGCUGAAAGCAUCUAAGUAGGAAGCCAGCUUCAAGAUGAGUACUCUCACCGCUUCAAGCGGGUAAGAUCACGGCAAGAACAGCCGUUUGAUAGGCAUCAAGUGUAAGUGCAGUAAUGUAUUCAGCUGAGAUGUACUAAUAGAUCGAGGGCUUAUC